GACGAACGCUGGCGGCGUGCUUAACACAUGCAAGUCGAACGGAAAGGCCCUGCUUUUGUGGGGUGCUCGAGUGGCGAACGGGUGAGUACACGUGAGUAACCUGCCCUUGACUUUGGGAUAACUUCAGGAAACUGGGGCUAAUACCGGAUAGGAUCUCCUGCUGCAUGGCGGGGGUUGGAAAGUUUCGGCGGUUGGGGAUGGACUCGCGGCUUAUCAGCUUGUUGGUGGGGUAGUGGCUUACCAAGGCUUUGACGGGUAGCCGGCCUGAGAGGGUGACCGGCCACAUUGGGACUGAGAUACGGCCCAGACUCCUACGGGAGGCAGCAGUGGGGAAUAUUGCACAAUGGGCGGAAGCCUGAUGCAGCAACGCCGCGUGCGGGAUGACGGCCUUCGGGCUGUAAACCGCUUUCGCCUGUGACGAAGCGUGAGUGACGGUAAUGGGUAAAGAAGCACCGGCUAACUACGUG
rnacentral:rRNA from 1 species